rnacentral:rRNA from 1 species
UACGAGGGCUCCAAGCGUUAUCCGGAUUUAUUGGGCGUAAAGGGUCCGUAGGCGGCCUGUCGCAUCUCCUGUUAAAUCCCGAGGCUUAACUUCGGAAUCGCGGGAGAGAUGGAUAGGCUAGAGGCCGGGAGAGGCAAGCGGAAUUGCUGGUGUAGGGGUUAAAUCCGUUAAUAUCAGCAGGAACACCGAAUGCGAAAGCAGCUUGCUGGAACGGUCCUGACGCUCAGGGACGAAAGCGUGGGGAGCGAAUGGG